AAAUAGUUUUAUGUAGCACGGGUUGUAUUUGUCGGAGUGGGUACGUGCACUGUAUAUGAACUGGGAUGAAAGGUGCCCAGGUACCUCAGGGAGAAUUCAUCAAUUGUAUGAUACCAGGAGUACGCGUUGUCAGAGAAUGCCCCAGCCUUUGGUUUUACGAUAAGGGGACUCGGAAAGUGCUGUCGUUUCACUGAGCUAUGCAAACUGGCUUUUAAUGGAAUCUCCAAGUUGUGCCAUGUGACGUUGGAACACAGAUGAUUGGAGUAGGGGGAGGCUAUUCAGCCCCUCAAACCUGCUCUACCACUCCAUAUGAUCAUGGCUGAUCAUCGAGCUCAAUGCCCUAUUCCACCCUCCUCCCAUAUCCCAUAAUCCUUUUAGCCAGGAGCCGUAUUUACCUCCUUGAAAACACUAUAUGUUUUGGCCUCAACCACUUUCUGUUGCAGAGGAUUCCCUCUGCUCACCACUUUCUGGGUGAAGACAUUUCUCCUUA